rnacentral:rRNA from 1 species
UACAGAGGGGGCAAGCGUUGUUCGGAAUUACUGGGCGUAAAGGGCGCGUAGGCGGCCCCGCUAAGUCGAACGUGAAAUCCCCGAGCUCAACUCGGGAACUGCGUCCGAUACUGGUGGGCUUGAAUCCGGGAGAGGGAUGCGGAAUUCCAGGUGUAGCGGUGAAAUGCGUAGAUAUCUGGAGGAACACCGGUGGCGAAGGCGACAUCCUGGACCGGUAUUGACGCUGAGGCGCGAAAGCCAGGGGAGCAAACGGG